GAUCGUAAAGCUCUGUUGUUAGGGAAGAACAAGUGCAAGAGUAACUGCUUGCACCUUGACGGUACCUAACCAGAAAGCCACGGCUAACUACGUGCCAGCAGCCGCGGUAAUACGUAGGUGGCAAGCGUUGUCCGGAAUUAUUGGGCGUAAAGGGCUCGCAGGCGGUUUCYUAAGUCUGAUGUGAAAGCCCCCGGCUCAACCGGGGAGGGUCAUUGGAAACUGGGAAACUUGAGUGCAGAAGAGGAGAGUGGAAUUCCACGUGUAGCGGUGAAAUGCGUAGAGAUGUGGAGGAACACCAGUGGCGAAGGCGACUCUCUGGUCUGUAACUGACGCUGAGGAGCGAAAGCGUGGGGAGCGAACAGGAUUAGAUACCCUGGUAGUCCACGCCGUAAACGAUGAGUGCUAAGUGUUWAGGGGGUUUC
rnacentral:rRNA from 1 species